AGUAACGCGUAGGUAACCUGCCUGGUAGCGGGGGAUAACUAUUGGAAACGAUAGCUAAUACCGCAUAAGAGAGACUAACGCAUGUUAGUAAUUUAAAAGGGGCAAUUGCUCCACUAUGAGAUGGACCUGCGUUGUAUUAGCUAGUUGGUGAGGUAAAGGCUCACCAAGGCGACGAUACAUAGCCGACCUGAGAGGGUGAUCGGCCACACUGGGACUGAGACACGGCCCAG
rnacentral:rRNA from 1 species